UUUUAUUUUUUCCCGCAGGAGAUUUUGCUGGGGAGCCAUCGGGCUCGGCCCGGCGCCGGGCUCCGCGGCGCGGAGCAUCUUUCCCCGCGGUCGAUGCGCGCCGGGGCGGCUCGGUGCCGGCAGCCCCCGCGGAGCCACCGGCCGCCACCUCCAAGCCCUGAAAACCCCCUGCUCACCUGUUGCUUCAGCCGCUUCUUUAAUGGCAUGGCCUUAAGGGGAAGCUAAAAUGCUCACAAAGCGAUCUCGGAAAAGCGGCGGCGGGAAGGAAUGAUUCCAGGACAAUUGUCCGGACCCCGGGUCAGGGAAAAAUGCUGUUCAGUGGAGACAGGAAGGCGACGGCUUGGAGGGAGCAGGGGGGAUUUGAAGAGGAAUAAGUGGGUGCAUAGUGCCUGGAGCUCACCUUCUGCAAAGACAAGGUGUGAUUAAUGUCCGACACUUGUGUUUGUCCCUGCCCUGGCUCACAAAUCCUGCUGCUCGUCCCCCGACCGCGAAGGAAGCAGAGCAGAUUGUGAAGCCUCUGCACACUGGGACGGGGGUGGGAGAGGGGGGAAAAGAAAAAGAACAUACAAGACAAGCCCGUCCCAAGAGCUGGAGUGGGCAGAGUAUUACAUGUACAAACAUCCAAACAAGAUUGGAGCAGUACAAAGCGUCGGAAAAUCCAGAGCAGCCACAUAAAAAGAGAAGUUAAGUAGGAA